CCUACGGGUGGCUGCAGUGGGGAAUAUUGGUCAAUGGAGGAAACUCUGAACCAGCAACGCCGCGUGAAUGAUGAAGGUCUUCGGAUUGUAAAGUUCUUUUCUAAGGGAAGAAGAUAGUGACGGUACCUUAGGAAUAAGCCUCGGCUAACUACGUGCCAGCAGCCGCGGUAAUACGUAGGAGGCAAGCGUUAUCCGGAAUGACUGGGCGUAAAGGGUGCGUAGGUGGUUUGGCAAGUUAGUAGCGUAACCCCGGGGCUCAACCUCGGAACUACUACUAAAACUGUCGGACUUGAGUGCAGGAGGGGCAAUUGGAAUUCCUAGUGUAGCGGUGGAAUGCGUAGAUAUUAGGAGGAACACCAGUGGCGAAGGCGAAUUGCUGGACUGUAACUGACACUGAGGCACGAAAGCGUGGGGAGCAAACAGGAUUAGAUACCCCGGUAGUC
rnacentral:rRNA from 1 species